CCUACGGGAGGCAGCAGUGGGGAAUAUUGCGCAAUGGGCGAAAGCCUGACGCAGCGACGCCGCGUGAGGGAUGAAGGCCUUCGGGUUGUAAACCUCUUUCAGCAGGGACGAAAUCAGACGGUACCUGCAGAAGAAGCACCGGCCAACUACGUGCCAGCAGCCGCGGUAAUACGUAGGGUGCAAGCGUUGUCCGGAAUUAUUGGGCGUAAAGAGCUCGUAGGCGGUCUGUCGCGUCGGCUGUGAAAACUCGGGGCUCAACCCCGAGCCUGCAGUCGAUACGGGCAGACUAGAGUGCGGUAGGGGAGACUGGAAUUCCUGGUGUAGCGGUGAAAUGCGCAGAUAUCAGGAGGAACACCGGUGGCGAAGGCGGGUCUCUGGGCCGUAACUGACGCUGAGGAGCGAAAGCGUGGGGAGCAAACAGGAUUAGAUACCCUAGUAGU
rnacentral:rRNA from 1 species